AUGCAACCUACCUUUAACAGGGGAAUAGCCCCGAGAAAUCGGGAUUAAUACUCCGUAACAUUGCGGUGUGGCAUCACACUGCAAUUAAAGAUUUAUCGGUUAAAGAUGGGCAUGCGUGACAUUAGCUAGUUGGUGAGGUAACGGCUCACCAAGGCAACGAUGUCUAGGGGUCCUGAGAGGGUUAUCCCCCACACUGGUACUGAGACACUGACCAGACUCCUACGGGAGGCAGCAGUAAGGAAUAUUGGUCAAUGGGCGCAAGCCUGAACCAGCCAUGCCGCGUGCAGGAAGACGGCCCUAUGGGUUGUAAACUGCUUUUGUCAGGGAAUAAACCCCCGCUCGUGAGCGGGGCUGAAGGUACCUGAAGAAUAAGCAUCGGCUAACUCCGUGCCAGCAGCCGCGGUAAUA
rnacentral:rRNA from 1 species